GACGAACGCUGGCGGCGUGCUUAACACAUGCAAGUCGAACGAAGUGGCGAACGGGUGAGUAACGCGUAAUCAACCUGCCCUUCAGAGGGGGACAACAGUUGGAAAAGACUGCUAAUACCGCAUACUGAAGGAGGGGAUUGCGUCUUAUUAGCUAGGUGGAGGGGUAACGGCCCACAAAGGCGAUGAUCAGUAGCCGGUCUGAGAGGAUGAACAUCCACAUUGGGACUGAGAUCCGGCCCAAGCUCCUACGGGAGGCAGCAGUGGGGAAUAUUCCACAAUGGGGGAAACCCUGAUUCAGCAACUCCGCUUGCGGGAUGACGGCCUUCGGGUUGUAAACCGCUUUCAGCCAUGUCGCGGUAGUGGCAGAAGAAGCACCGGCUAACUACGUGCCAGCAGCCGCGGUAAUAC
rnacentral:rRNA from 1 species